AGAGUUUGAUCAUGGCUCAGGAUGAACGCUAGCUACAGGCUUAACACAUGCAAGUCGAGGGGCAGCAUGGUCUUAGCUUGCUAAGACUGAUGGCGACCGGCGCACGGGUGAGUAACACGUAUCCAACCUGCCGUCUACUCUUGGACAGCCUUCUGAAAGGAAGAUUAAUACAAGAUGGCAUCAUGAGUCCGCAUGUUCACAUGAUUAAAGGUAUUCCGGUAGACGAUGGGGGUGCGUUCCAUUAGAUAGUAGGCGGGGUAACGGCCACCUAGUCUUCGAUGGAUAGGGGUUCUGAGAGGAAGGUCCCCCANAUUGGAACUGAGACACGGUCCAAACUCCGUACGGGAGGCA
rnacentral:rRNA from 1 species